GUAUAUUUACUGGCUAUUUGGUGGCUACGUGGGCUUUACAUGCAGUGCCUCUCUGACCUGUUUAUAUCCUCGUGUGUGGGUCUGUAUUCCCUCUCUCUCCCUGUGCCCCCAUUCCUGUGCAAUCAGAAUUGGAAUAUGGAGAAUGUCAAGUGUGAUACAAGAACCCUUAAUGUUACAGAAUCACAGAAAUAACGAGGUUGGAAAAGACCUUUGAGAUCAUCAAGUCCAACCUGUGACCUAACACCACCUCAUCAACUAAACCAUGGCACUGAGAGCCACAUCCAGUUUUCAACUGUUCUGUUUGGAAAGAAACUUUUGCUUUAAAACUUUUGACCUGUUCUAGGAAGGCAGAAAUAGCAUUUCCAGCCUCUGUGGCCACUGGGGAAUUUUCUGUGCAGAACAUCCCUGUGUGAAAAAGCUGCUGAAAGCUGUUCCCUGGAACAGAGCCACUUCACUCUCAGCUUCUCCAGCUCCCAUUUCAUGCAGGUGUAAUUGCAUUGGUACUGAGGUAAUAGUUUCUGUCUGGCUCCAAAGUGCUGGGAAUAUCCAGCCUUUCAGCUUGAAGUGAGAGAAAGGGAAGGGCUCUUGCAGGAUACCUGCCAUCAGCAGGACACAAAACUACUGCUUUUGAUGUUGGAUGGCAGAAGAUGUGCUCUGUGGGGAUUUGGGAGGAGAGUGGGGACCCCAGAGUGGGAGGUGAAGUAUCUCCUAGUCACUUGUGCACCUUUUUGUCUCCUAACCAGGGCUGUGUUGAGCCAGGCCUGGGUGUUUGCCUGCUGGCUGAGCUGUUGGACCUGUGUGUGCCAUGGGCAUGGCUGAGACUGGCUCAGGGAGAUGGGCCCCAGACAGCUGCAGGAAAGAACAUGAAAUGGUUAUUCCUUUGCUUGUGUAUGAUCAAAGAGCCUUUUGCAGAGGUGUGA
rnacentral:lncRNA from 1 species